GAGGAGAGGAGAGGAGAGGAGAGGAGAGGAGAGGAGAGGAGAGGAGAGGAGAGGAGGGAGAGAGGGAGAGGGAAGGAGCAUAGUAAAAAAAAAAUCAAUCUUGGAAGGCGUGAUGGCCAUGUGCAUAUCGAGAUGCACAAUGAUGCCUCCACACCCCCCCUGCUGCUGCUACCCCCCAACCCCUGCAUCAUUAGCUAGGAUAACUCAUUCUAGCCUCUCUAACAAACAACUGUGGAUCCCAAUAGUCCAGCACAGAGCACAUAAGGUUUUCACUCAUGUAAAAUCUCCUCUAAGUGAAUUGGAUGUCACCUUCACUGUGGAGUGGCUAUGUCAUCUGGGGUGCAUGGCUUCUAAAGGCACUGAAGACAGCAGAAAGGAACCCUGUAAUUGAGGCUCAUUACUCUGCCAGCAUCUCAUGUGUCAGAGACUGGGAAGUGCAGCCAUCCCAUAGCGAUGGAUGGGGAAGAUGAGAUGAGCAUCCUGAGCCGCCAGCCUACAUGCAGGACUUUCAGCCUCUUGAAUAGUGGUUAAAACACCAAUUAUUUGUUAUUUUUAGUGAUCUGAGUUACAAGCGAACAAUGUUCCACAAGGCCCAAUCCUCCCUUACCAUUCCUAGCAUGCUUAUUUCAAAGUUCCCCCAUUCUCCUUCCUCUUGAAUUUGAGGAGUCUGUGACUAUUGCUCGGAACAUCCGUAAUUUUUCACCUGGCCUGGGUUGGGUGGGUGCACAGGUAUCUUGAGAUGAUCAGCUGGGCUUGAGUGUUCAUUUCCUGCCCUACAACAGGUGAGGGAUGAUGUAUUGAUGGGCACAUUUCUGGGGAAGUUCUUGACAAAGCUCCACCAGGCUCAUCUGACUUGAUCUCUUAUGGUCUACAAGCCCUGCGAGCUUAGUUGUCCCCACUCCUGGCUCCUCAGGUUCCUGCCUCCCUGAAACCCAUCUCCAGGUGACCAGGCUUCCUUGACCCACGCUGGAUGUGACAUAAUCAUCCCAUUUCACAAUGUGAAAUCCCCUGCCUAAGCCCACAGCUGUGGCCCUUUUUCCUAUGAUCCAGGAAAAUGCUCUAUCUUCCACAUGUCCUUUGGAUUCCAGUCCCAAGGCUGGCAUUGCCUUUACUCUGCCACAGGUACUCCAAAUCCACCUAGAGGAUGCAUUUGUGGAAUGCCGUGAGCUUUGUGAGUGUUGUGGUAUAGAAACGUAUUGAAAGGAUUGCCUGUAACCUCUCCUUCCCCAUUCCAAUGGAAACUCCUUCAACUGCUUUUUCUGGGGCUUAGAACUUGAAUCCUAAGAAUAGUUUUGUUUACAUAGCAACUCACUGUUUCCUUGAUAACCCUCCCACACCCCCACCCCCACAUGUGUGCUUAUGUGUGUACUCCGUAUUAUAAGUGUAUUGAGUUGUAUGCUUAUUGAAACACUUGUGUACCUAGCUACUUAUCUAUUGCAAAGCACCAUUUAUGUUCCUUAUGUACAUGUGGUGCAUAUACUUACAUACCACUUUUUCAUAUUUCCAUACCAUUAUUUUCCUAAUCUUCUCUCCACAAUGGAGGGCCAGAAUGCUGUAAUGGCUGAAAGAUGCAACAGAGAGCUCUGAGAUUGGCAGAGUGAAACUGACUUGAGCAAUGCUACCCCGAUGGUAGCAGUAUCGAGUACUGACAGGAGACCUUUUUGGCCCUGGAGACUAGGUCUUUGUCUCACUGCCCCUUCGCCUUUCUGGAUUUCUAUGGCUUCCAAUUUCACGCUAACAUACAUUUAUACUGCAAGCGGAAUCCUUGUUCUCACAGAUAAGCCAAGGAAGAAGCCAAAUCAGAUGGCCUCAGCCUGCAUCAGCUGUAAAGCUUUUCUAAGAGUUUUCCUGGCUCCUGCCAGGAUGCAGACUGCCUCAGCUUCCUCCCGGCUAGGACCGGACGCAGAGCUCUCCCACAUCUCUCCAGCCCUCCCUCUCUUCUCUCUUUCAGUCCUGGCAAUACUGAGCCAGGUACAUCCCUGCAAGGGCAGGGAAGGGUGCCCUGUGCACUGUAGGAUGCUGAGUGAUCUCUGGCCUUCAUCUUCUGGACACCAAGAGUGCCCACGACCCAAGUUUCGACCAUCAGAAAAUAUUUCGCCUGACUGGUGUGCCCUAGAUGAGAACACUGAUUUGAGUGGGUUGCAAAACAAAACGUUCUGCUCUUGUAAUAACGGCCAUGAACAGGGAGGGCCAGUGGCUAAACUCAGCCUUUGCAAGGCUGAGGAUACCUUGUAAAAACAGCAGGGUGGGGGUUGGCCCAGAUCUCAUGCCAGGCAGACUUGUCUGUGGUUCUCCUUUCUCUAGGCUCAAGUCCUCCACCUUCCACGAUCACUGUCUCCCAAGAGGAGGGGAAGCCUGCAAAAAAAGAGAAAAUUAAAAAGUAAAAACG
rnacentral:lncRNA from 1 species